AUUGAACGCUGGCGGCAGGCUUAACACAUGCAAGUCGAGCGGAGACUUCGGUCUUAGCGGCGAACGGGUGAGUAACACCUAGGAAUCUGCCUAUUAGUGGGGGAUAACGUGUGGAAACGCACGCUAAUACCGCAUACGUCCUACGGGAGAAAGCAGGGGAUCUUCGGACCUUGCGCUAAUAGAUGAGCCUAGGCCGGAUUAGCUAGUUGGUGGGGUAAAGGCCUACCAAGGCGACGAUCUGUAGCUGGUCUGAGAGGAUGGCCAGCCACACUGGAACUGAGACACGGUCCAGACUCCUACGGGAGGCAGCAGUGGGGAAUAUUGGACAAUGGGGGCAACCCUGAUCCAGCCAUGCCGCGUGUGUGAAGAAGGCCUUCGGUUGUAA
rnacentral:rRNA from 1 species